rnacentral:rRNA from 1 species
AUUGAACGCUGGCGGCAUGCCUUACACAUGCAAGUCGAACGGCAGCACGGGGGCAACCCUGGUGGCGAGUGGCGAACGGGUGAGUAAUGCAUCGGAACGUGCCCUGAAGUGGGGGAUAACGUAGCGAAAGUUACGCUAAUACCGCAUAUUCUGUGAGCAGGAAAGAGGGGGAUCGCAAGACCUCUUGCUUUGGGAGCGGCCGAUGUCGGAUUAGCUAGUUGGUGAGGUAAAGGCUCACCAAGGCGACGAUCCGUAGCGGGUCUGAGAGGAUGAUCCGCCACACUGGGACUGAGACACGGCCCAGACUCCUACGGGAGGCUG